GACUUUGUAAAUGGAUUUUUGUUAUUGUGAAUAUACGAGCGCCAUCUGUUAGAUGCAACACAACACAUUUGGGACAGAUUAGUUUGAUUUGGGAAUUCCUAUAAGAGACCACGGCUAUGGGAAUAUCACGAUAUUGUGCUGCCAUGGAUUGCAAAGAAGAGAUCGAGUCGACAAAAAUCUGUGAGCUGGCGUCACUUUUGUUUUUACAGAAAGUGAAAGUUGCCAAUGAAGAGACCAUUUUGACCAACAACUGGAAUUUUUUCUAUGGGAAAGUCAUUGUGGACUCUUCGGAUUUGAGCUGCAUCGUAACUUCACCGUUGAACGCCUCGUCUGUGCAAGAUGGAUUCGAAUCCACUAACGAGAUAGAAUUAGGAUCGAUGAAUUUAACAUUUGAAACUAACUAAUGUAAUAGCAUAUUACAUGUAGCUGGGUCGAUUCGGUGACCCAGAUUUUAUCGAUAGAAUUUAGAGGAAAGAAUAUGUGUAGGUUGUUGGUAUCUAUUCUAUUUGAUGUUCGUAGAAAAGGUAUUGAAUCCCUAUGCCAAUAUUUUAGUCCUUCGAUAAUAGUUCAUGGAUAGAUAGAGUACAUUCGGGAAGAGUUUUCAUUAUAUGAACUACUGUACAGACCGUCAUGAAUCUUGUGAACAAUGACUUUAAUAACCGUGUUAGUUUGAAAGAAAAAAAAUUAUACAAACCGUUAUGUCCUUUAUAAAACCAUUGAUACUCGUUUUGAUCCAAAUUACUUGUUGACGGCAUUGAGCUAAAUAAUAGUUCCGGAUGUUCAAGAAACUCACUGGGAAAUUCUGUACGACACAUUGCGCAUCGUCGAUUUUUGAGGCCCUAAUUGAUAAAAUAUCUAAUUAUUAAUAGUUACUAUUAACUACUUCCAAUGAAUAUUAUAAAAGACAAAAAAUAAUAGAUUUAGACGUUAAAAUCAAUACAGUUUGAAGACUAUUUGAAACAAAUUAUUCAAAAUGUAACCAUUUAAUUAAACCACCAGGCGAAGGUACGCCAAUACUAUUAAUCUUUUUCUUUAGAAUUAAAUAAAAUAAAAGUAAA